AUAUAUGUGACCAAUAUGGCGAGAGGCAAGCGGAACUCGCAGAAAAGGAAGAAAUCUUCCAAAGGCUCUGAUGAUGGUGAAAACGAUAAUGGUGAUGAAGGUGUGAAAAAGUGUCCCCAUUCUAAAGCAGUCAAGCUCAAUAAUUUGCAAA